rnacentral:rRNA from 1 species
GACGAACGCUGGCGGCGUGCCUAAUACAUGCAAGUCGAACGGUCUUUUCUAUGGAAGCUUGCUUCCGCUGAGAAGGUAGUGGCGAACGGGUGAGUAACACGUGGGUAACCUGCCCAUAAGAGGGGGAUAACAUCCGGAAACGGGUGCUAAUACCGCAUAGUUUUCUUGAUCGCAUGAUCGAGAAAGGAAAGACGGCCUUUGUGCUGUUGCUUAUGGAUGGACCCGCGGCGUAUUAGUUAGUUGGUGAGGUAACGGCUCACCAAGACGAUGAUACGUAGCCGACCUGAGAGGGUGAUCGGCCACAUUGGGACUGAGACACGGCCCAAACUCCUACGGGAGGCAGCAGUAGGGAAUCUUCCGCAAUGGACGAAAGUCUGACGGAGCAACGCCGCGUGAGUGAAGAAGGUUUUCGGAUCGUAAAACUCUGUUGUCAGAGAAGAACAAGUCGGAGAGUAACUGCUCCGGCCUUGACGGUAUCUGACCAGAAAGCCACGGCUAACUACGUGCCAGCCGCCGCCGUAAGAC